AUGUUAUGUGAUGGUUUAAACCUCAUCCUCCGCGACGAGGACAAGAACACGGACAACCUCAACCAGCGCAUGAUGGGCAAGUUUCGCCGUCUAAGUAACGAUCUAGCGCUCAAGGAGAUCUACCUCACCGGCCGACACUACACAUGGUCAAACGAGCAGUCACCGCCGGCGUUGAUGCAUCUCGACCGCGUGCUAUGCACCUCAGACUGA
rnacentral:rRNA from 1 species